GUUGAGUUUCAAGCAACUUAAUAUACCAGCAAAAGAAUAUUUUGUACCAGUUUUCUUUUAGUGCUUGACUAGCUGUAAAUAUUGUAUCUUUCAUCCAUAAGGUUUCCCAUUGGUGGAAAGAGGUUUCUUCCUCAAAGUUCCGCAUCCAUCUUAUCAUGCGGAUUUUAACUUGUGCAGUUUCAGUAUCCUAUUGCAAUAAUUGUUAAAUCCAUCCUAAUAAGUGAUCUUUUUGCUGCAAAAUCAACUUUUCAAAUUCUGUCAGGUGUCUUUAUGGUACCUCUUCCUAUCUGAAUUUCCCUUUUCAGUCUUGCAACCAAUUGAACAUAGAGAAGCCAUUCUUUCUUUUUAUUUCAUCUUUUAGUUUUUGCCAAGCCUAAACUCCUCCUUGUUGAUCAGUCAUAUCUCAAUUUGUUAUGAAAUCAUUACUUUUCCUUAGAUGCUUAUCACAGUAUUUCUAUUGGA